CCCACACACACCUGCUCACACAUGGGAACACACACAUGCUUACACAUGUUAAAACACAUAUCCACUCACAUACAUGCACAGACCUGCUCACAUAUACACAUACAUGCUCACACACCCCAGCUCACACCUUCCUGCUCACACACACCUGCUUACAUACACCCUCAAACAUGUUCACACCCACUCACACAUCCACUGACACACACCUAUGCCCAUUCACACACACUUAUAUCACACACAUCCCUGCUUACAUACACAUUCACACAUAUACACUUGCUCACACACCUGCUGUCACACCCCC
rnacentral:lncRNA from 1 species